UACGAAGGGGGCGAGCGUUGUUCGGAUUUACUGGGCGUAAAGGGCGCGCAGGCGGCGAGUUUUGUCAGGCGUGAAAGCCCCGGGCUCAACCUGGGAACUGCAUUUGUGACUGGCGGGCUAGAGUAUGGCAGAGGGGGGUAGAAUUCCACGUGUAGCAGUGAAAUGCGUAGAGAUGUGGAGGAAUACCGAUGGCGAAGGCAGCCCCCUGGGCCAAUACUGACGCUCAUGCACGAAAGCGUGGGGAGCAAACAGG
rnacentral:rRNA from 1 species